UCACUUUCUCUUUUUUUUUUAGAGAAGCCCACCAUGGCCAUAAAGACCAAGAACAAGAAUUCCCGUGACGGAGACUUUCCGAAGGCCGAUAACAGCUUGGAGCUUCUUUUGGGAAAAAUCUCUUGUGGCUCGAGGCAAGGGAUAGGUGGCAGUGAUCGCAAACAGGAAGACGAUAGUGAAGAGGACGACGCUCGGCAACCAUGAAGAAGAAGCCUGUUCUACAGAGGACCUUUGGGAAAUCAAUGAAGGGGCCGUAAGUGGAUAGGCUCAAUAAGAAGCCUCGAGCUGGUCUUAGUCUCCAGCCUUUGCAAUUAUUGCAGAGCGACUUUAGAUUCACAGGUGGAUCUCUAUUUGAGGAGAGAGCGGAACCAUUUAAUCUCACUCUUGUUGCUAAAGGCAAAGAUGAUGUCAAUGUCAGAGGUACCAUAGAAACAAGCAAUAUUUUAAUGUCCAUGGAAGAGGAGGUUGCUAAUGUGUGUGCCUCAGUGGAGGAGGAUGUUGAUGGCUUUAUUAGGAUGAACGAUAAAUUGCCGUAUAGUUCAAUUUCCACUGUUAGUGAUGAGAGGAAUUCGUAAGAUGAUGAGAGUUCAUCAUUAUCUUGUCCUUCUUGUUUUUUGGAGAAUUUCUUGUCAUGUAUUGAUUCCAGAUGGAGUGAUUCCAACUCUUUUGGUCUAAAGAAGAAGAUUCAUACUUGGUGCCAACUUUCGAACGGUGAAUGGAUGCUAGGGAGGAUACUAUCAACUUCAGGGGCAGAGUCAAUUAUUUAUCUUCCAGAGGGGAAAGUAAUCAUUCAAUGUUUUGGUUGAGGAAUGCAUAUUAAUUGUUUACUUAAAAACGGUCUUUAACUUAGCCUAAAACUUCAUCCUCAGGUGUUAAAGUUGAAAAUAGAGAGCAUUUUACCCUCAAACCCUGAAAUACUUGAUGGGGUAGAUGAUUUGAUGCAACUUAGUUAUUUAAAUGAACCAUCGAUACUCUACAACUUACAAUACAUAUAUGAUCGAGACAUGAUUUAUUGGCGAGAGUGGAGCGUACAAAAUUGAAACAACAAAUAUUGCAAGGUAAUAUUUGGUUGCUCUUGGAGGAGGUAUUGGGAUGGAAUAUGAAAUUAUUCAAACAAAUCCAAUUCUUGAGGUCUUUAGGAAUUCAAAAACAACAAGAAAUGAUAACUCUAGUUGAUUUGUAAGCUUCUGUAUUCUUCCUAAUAUUUUUAAGAAAUGAGGAAAGAUGUGUUUGGCUUCA